rnacentral:tRNA from 1 species
UCCACUGUAGCUCAGUCGGUAAAGAAUCUGCCUGCAAUGCAGGAGACCCGGGUUUGAUUCCUGGGUAGGGAA